rnacentral:lncRNA from 1 species
UCCACUUCAGUGAUCCACCUUUCAAUUUUGUCAAUUAGGUGAUUAAACUAUCAAUUUUUUCCAAUCACCAAAUUGAACACGCCACGUCAGAAAUUGCUGACGUGACUAAUUGUGUGGGGUCUUAACAAGCUUAUGUGGCAAAAAAAUAAUUUUUUAUUCAUUACAUAAACAAAUCUAAUUUAAUAAGGGGCAAAAUAGUCAAACUACAAAUUAACAUUAACAAAUUAAUCUAAAAUAUAUCUAAACCUAAAAUAUAUCAGUCCCUUACAUUACAUUCGAUCUAAACACAGUCAACACUCCCCGUUAUUCACCCCACUCGAAUCCAUCUUCUUCAGAUCUAAACCUUCUCCGGAUCCAUUCUUCUUCUUCUGGUCCAGCCACUCGUUCCACCAAACGCGAACGUCUCUCUGCUGCGACCACUUCUACAUCUACAGUCCUAACAACCCCUACUCUCCCUGUGAUUUCAUCGUUCUCGACCCGUUCACGUGCUUCAACAAUGGAUGAAUCCUCUGGUUCUGCUCUCUCACUUCACUUCAGAUUUCAAUUUUUACCAAGAUGAUUAAGCAGGGCUAUGAAGAAGAAGAAGAAUCCCAUUGUUGUCGGUCAUGAUCUCUG